CAGGAUCCGCGGGGACCCGGUGGGAGCUGAAUGUAACUGCAGAAAUCUGCACGGCACAGCCCCAGAAUGGAGGCGGCUUCUCGUGCCCACCACCUUUUGUGAAAGCACCCUCCUCCCCUGGCCCCCAGCAGGGACUCGGGGGCAAUCUGAGUUUCCACCAACUUGACCCAUUUCACAGAUCCAAGUAAUCCUUGAGGCCACAUCUCUGGUCCUUGGGAACAUGCAUCAUAAAUCCCCCAAAAAAGGAAGGCCUACCCUAGACCCGGCCUGACAAUCCCUGGAGCACAGAUGAGACACCUCCAAGAAAGUGGGGGUUCCAGCAGACACCCCCAGCCCAGCCUGCCCCAUGCACCUGCUCCCAAAUUUCAUUUCCUAGACUUUCGGCCACAUGCUCGAUGGUGUCACAGUGGCCGUGAGGCGCUGCCUUGGAAAAAAGGAAAUGCAAUUGUCCGACCAAUAAAAAGCAUUCCUGUAUGUAA